CAAGUCUGAAACGAUCUUCAAUGUAACAAUUCAAGACUGAGAAUUUAUUAAUGUAUCAGCGGAAGUACAUAAAUAAAGCACAGCAUUGCAAGUAAAGUUUUUGCUUACUUUCUAUUCUGCAAGGUAAAGCUGACUGGAGGCACCAGGAAGAGGGAAAUGAUUUGUCUCAGUUGUGAAGUUUUUAAAAGAAGCAUUCCCCACCUGCACACCAUCUAGGUGACACCAACAGCCCAAGUGACUGUAAGCAGCAAUCUUUACAGAAGCUUAACCGUACAGCUAGAGUGGAUGUUACCUUACUGCAAUGGACUGUCUGGCAGACCUGCAUAUUUUUAUGGAAAACACUGAGAUUUAGAGUCCUCCUAAGACCCACCCUCCCUGAGAUCCAGAGCCAGACCAACUGCUGUAUAAACAUCUUGAAUCUACUCUCUCUUCUUUUUUCCACAUCUGCAUAUCCUCCCUUGCUGUUAAAAAGCAAGCUUCUCUCAUCAUCCAAUUUUUCCUCUUUGCAAAAAUAAAGAAAACAUGAGUUUGAUGGUUACCUGUGGCUGUACAACAAACCAGGACACAACAGAGAUGAACACAGACACUGUGCGGAUAACCUAAAAUCCCAUGGAUCUGAGAAUGAGAUGCAGCCAUUAUAUGCAUUACAAAAUCUGCACACUUCCAUUAAGCAGUAAGCCUAAAAGGUUGAUCUCUGAGGAAGAGAGAGGCAGAUGGCAGAUUACUUGGUGUUUCUGAUGACUCCUGAUGUUGACCUUAUGAAUUCUGCAGUGACAAUAAUUGUUGUAUAUUUUUCCUAGAAACUGGAUGGUAAUUCUGAGUUUGUUUUUGAUUGAUUUGAUUGUUUUUUGUUUGUUUGUUUGUUUUUGGGGGGUUGUUUGGUUGGGUUUUGUUGUUGUCAAUUGUUUUAUUUAUUAUAUAUUUUAUGUAAUUUUAAAAUAUACAAAAACAUAAAAGUUCUCUGUUAUCAACACAAAAUGGUUAUAUAUUCAUAUACAUAGGUUUCUGCAUUUUCUCUGAAGCAUUGUUUCAUUUACCUAUCCCAAAAAUCCAAUUUCUUUAAACCAAAUGCACAUCGCUACAUGCUAAAUAAAUUGUCAUUAAGACAUCCUUUACCA
rnacentral:lncRNA from 1 species